rnacentral:rRNA from 1 species
CUACGGGGUGCUCCAGUGGGGAAUAUUGCACAAUGGGCGAAAGCCUGAUGCAGCCAUGCCGCGUGUGUGAAGAGGGCCUUCGGGUUGUAAAGCACUUUCAGUAGGGAGGAAAGGGUGUACGUUAAUACCGUGCAUCUGUGACGUUACCUACAGAAGAAGCACCGGCUAACUCCGUGCCAGCAGCCGCGGUAAUACGGAGGGUGCGAGCGUUAAUCGGAAUUACUGGGCGUAAAGCGUGUGUAGGCGGUUAUUUAAGCGAGAUGUGAAAUCCCGGGGCUCAACCUCGGAACUGCAUUUCGAACUGGAUAACUAGAGUUUUGUAGAGGGUGGUGGAAUUUCCAGUGUAGCGGUGAAAUGCGUAGAGAUUGGAAGGAACAUCAGUGGCGAAGGCGGCCACCUGGACAAAAACUGACGCUGAGACACGAAAGCGUGGGGAGCAAACAGGAUUAGAUACCCGAGUAGUC